GUGAAUCAUCAAAUUUUUGAACGCAAAUUGCACUCUCCGGUUUUCCGGGAGAGAAUGCCUGUUUGAGGGUAUGUUUAAAAUAUAAUCGAGGCUGCUGCUGUGGGGGCUCUUCGGAAUUGGGUCAUCUUUCACCUUUCGGUUGUAAGCGACGUAAAAUUUUUUGUACGAUUUCUACGAACGUGUCUAAGUAUUUCUUGUACGUUCACGACAAAGAAAU
rnacentral:misc_RNA from 1 species